GAUGGCCUUACCUCUCGGUGCCUGCGUCCACAGCUGCGAGUGGAGGACAAAGAAAACAUACAUGUGUCUCCUGACAGGAGAGCUACCUGGCAAUGGAUAAACCGCUGUGUUAGGAGGCUGCCGGAUUAAGGUAAGUAUAGGCUUCAUGUCU